GGGCUCGUAGCCUAACGGUAUGGCGCAUCCAUGGCAUGGAUGAGACUCCGGGUUCGAUUCCCGGCGAGUCCA
rnacentral:tRNA from 1 species